AGCGGUCUGGGGACAGGGACACAGCAGGCAUACACUCCCCGGGAUGGUGCUGGCCACAGCGAGAGCCGCCAUUCGGGUAUCGGUGCCCAAGCUCAGACACAGCCCUUUGCCCUCCCUUCUCCUCGUGCCUCUGUCACCUGUGCCUGUGGGACGGGGAGAGCUCGUGGAUGAGCUGCCCUGGGCUCUCAGCUUUCCUUCCUUCAUCACCCUAAAACCGGUGACUGACAGCUGGUGAAAACCAACCUUGCCUGGCAGUUCCCUCUUCCCUGGCUGCUCCUUCCGCACCAUGGAGCAGGUCGGUCAUUCCACAGACCUACUCUGGGUGCUGAAGGUGGUGACUGGUCAUGCCUGAGCGCUGGGGCAGAUGCUGCAGGGCCAGUGUCACACACAGAACUGUGGUGAGGGGCACAGGAGCAGUCCAUGGUCAGUGCUAUGCCUAAGGAGGAGAGCAGGACCCACCUGGGAGCCUGCUUGCCAGAAGGAGAAAUGGCACAAGAGGAAAUACAUCUUCACAGCCUCGAGAGAGGAGAAGGUUGGAAUCUGAGUCCAUAAACAGCGUUGCUGUGCAGUGAGCAAAGACAGAGCAGGUUGGGCUCUGGAGAGUGUAACCCCACCUCUGCUGCUCCACUGCCAAUUAAAAAUACAGAAGUGGAA